AUGGUUUUAACGGUUGAUACUAUCCUUCUUAUCUUCGUUUUCAGUGCAAUUCUUUCGGGAGGAAAUCUAAAUAUUGUUGAUGCUUGCCCGGAAUUUUGCUACGAUUCAGCUGCAUACAUGACUUGUCCUUCUUCAGGAGAUGAACACCUCGAUCCACCAUGCAAUUGUUGCCUUGCAUCAUCUGGUUGUACAAUUCACGAAACAGAUGGAACUCCUAUUUGUACUGCUCAUUGA